UCCGGUCAUGCGAGCGAGGUGGCACCACCUUUUCCCAUUCCGAACAGAGAAGUGAAACGCCUUAGCGCCGAUGAUAGUUCUUUCGCAAGGAGGAUUGAAAAUAGGUCGUGGCCGGAA
rnacentral:rRNA from 1 species